CACGGGAGUUAGGGAUUCAUCAAGAUAGGACUUCAGCCUUCGUGGCUCUAGCAUUUCCUCUUCUGCUUCUUUUUCCUUCUAUUGAGUGAUAAAAAUACCCUCUCAUGUUUUCAGAGAUCUGGCUUUCUGUCCCCUUGCACCACUUUUUGCCCGAGCCCUCUCUUUUCCCUGUGCUUUUUGUUGCUCUUCUCCACCCUGUGAUGUCUGCUUUGCAAGGUGGCUUCUGUGUGUGGCUCUGGGGACCCCAGGAGAUCUCCGUCUCCUCUCACAGGAAUCCUCAUUCCACACGUGUCUUUCAGCCCUCAGUGGUUUAUGCCACGGGCUCAUUUUGUGAGGUUCACUGGGAUACUUUGUCACUAAUGUUGUUGUGGCUUUGAUUUUGAAAGGCCAGUUGCUCAUUUGUUUUUAAGGGCAGUUUGAGGAUAUAAAAAUAUUAUGUUCCAUAACCUUCCCCAAAUCCUUGUCAUGAUCCUUCCAGGUUGGUGCCAGACAAAGCCGUAUUGCUGUCGACCCCAAACUCUGACCCGGCUCCUUCACACCUUGUUUUGUCUGCUGUGGACAGCACUUUUACUCCCCCAGAAGUCAAGUGUGAAGUCCCGAGCCCUGGACCUCAGAGCGUGGCUCUGCUUGGGGACAAAGUCUCUAGGGGACCAUUAGGGUUCACACCUGACUGGUGUCCUUACAGGAAGAGGAGACCAGGGUGCAGGCAGGGACAGAGAGGGACAGCCCUGUGAGGACGCAGCGGGGAGACAGCUCUCCGUGAGCCGAGGAGAGAGGCUGCAGAACGAAGCCAAGACUGCUGAUGGCUUCCAGCUCCGGAACUGGGAGGGAAUAAGUGUGUGCUGGUUAAACCACCUGCAUGUUGUGUUUUGUUAAGGCAGUGGUAGUCAACAAUCUCUGUCUGUCUGUCUGACACACGCACACACACACACACACACACACACACACACACACACACUCACAGUGCACGUGAGACCCAGGGUCUGUUCCUAGCUCACUAACCCCUAGUGGAAGACUACACGCCGGGGUCCUUGACUCAGUCUGCUACCCGGGAAUAUCUCCCCAGACCCCCUCCCUCUUUAAACAGUCGUUUUAUGCAAAAAAAGAGGAUAUAAUAGUUUUUAUUUUACUUUAUGCCAUCGCUGCACAAGCAGAACCAAGAGUGAUUUACCUUUUACCUGAGUCUUUAGGAUUGGCUCCCAUUAUGGCCAAACCUGGCAGCGUUUAAAUGAUCCUGACUCCGGUCUGCACUGCCUCUCCCCUGGCCAUCCCUCUCCUCCACCCCGAAGCUUUCUGGGGAGGGGCGCAGGGAGGAAAGAAACCAAGGGAGUUGGCUCCCUCAAGGUGCCGGGCGAGGACCUGGGAUCUUUGAGGCAUUGUUUCUUCACCAGUGACGCGUGGUGCCCCUUCUUAAAGGGUGGUCACGAUGGUGCCAGGAGACCAGGCCGUCAUUUGCUUCCUGGCACCCAAAGGCCAUGAAAUAAAUGCUAUUUUCCCCCUUCUUCUUCCAACCUACCCUGAGCUGGAAACAACAAUUACGGCAGAAGAGAAUUCCAGGAAGCAAAACAGCACAGUGCUGUAGAAACUCCCAGCGGAGGCUCCUCCCCACGCCGCUUGGUCUUCCCUGCCUCCCAGUCCGAGAGCCUGGACCAGAACCCCAGUCUGCCACAUCAUCUGGGACUCCACUCCUGCCCCUUCUUUCUCUCCCAUGGUCCCGUUUGGAUCCACUUCUCGGUGUGGAUCCCGAGAUCCACACUUCCUCUGCUCUCAGAGGAAUCUCAGAGUGCGGCGUGAGAAGUGGGCCAGCCUCGGAGGGUAAGUAGCAGCUUGCACCCUCGUCCUGCUCCUGACUCUCCCUGCAGAGCUGUUAGCCCACGUUGGCCCUGUGUCCUUCCUUCUACUUCUGGGUUCUCAGAGUACAUCCCAUCCCCCAGUGCCGUGGUGUUGCUGGCGCUCGAAGGUUUGGGACCUUCUGGCCUGGACCCCAUGGUGAAAUGGGGAGUCCUCAGGGACGUUGGCCACAUGGCAGAGGGGACUGUCCACUUCCCCCAGAGGAGCACCCUUGGAGACCAGGACGCUGCCUCUUAUUUCCUUAGAUUAUCUGUCUUUUCUAACCUACCCUGUGUAAUC